rnacentral:rRNA from 1 species
ACGAACGCUGGCGGCGUGCUUAACACAUGCAAGUCGAACGGAAAGGCCCCUUUGGGGGUACUCGAGUGGCGAACGGGUGAGGAACACGUGAGUAACCUGCCCUUGACUUCGGGAUAACUUCAGGAAACUGGGGCUAAUACCGGAUAGGAAUCCUUGCUGCAUGGUGGGGGUUGGAAAGCUUCGGCGGUUUUGGAUGGACUCGCGGCUUAUCGGCUUGUUGGUGGGGUAGUGGCUUACCAAGGCUUUGACGGGUAGCCGGCCUGUGAGGGCGACCGGCCACAUUGGGACUGAGAUACGGCCCAGACUCCUACGGGAGGCAGCAGUGGGGAAUAUUGCACAAUGGGCGGAAGCCUGAUGCAGCAACGCCGCGUGCGGGAUGACGGCCUUCGGGUUGUAAACCGCUUUCAGCAGGGGCGAAGCUUGUGGUGACGGUACCUGCAGAAGAAGCACCGGCUAACUACGUG